rnacentral:rRNA from 1 species
UGGGGAAUUUUGGACAAUGGGGGAAACCCUGAUCCAGCCAUCCCGCGUGUGCGAUGAAGGCCUUCGGGUUGUAAAGCACUUUUGGCAGGAAAGAAACGUCAUGGGUUAAUACCCCGUGAAACUGACGGUACCUGCAGAAUAAGCACCGGCUAACUACGUGCCAGCAGCCGCGGUAAUACGUAGGGUGCAAGCGUUAAUCGGAAUUACUGGGCGUAAAGCGUGCGCAGGCGGUUCGGAAAGAAAGAUGUGAAAUCCCAGAGCUCAACUUUGGAACUGCAUUUUUAACUAACGGGCUAGAGUGUGGCAGAGGGAGGUGGAAUUCCGCGUGUAGCAGUGAAAUGCGUAGAUAUGCGGAGGAACACCGAUGGCGAAGGCAGCCUCCUGGGAUAACACUGACGCUCAUGCACGAAAGCGUGGGGAGCAAACAGG